rnacentral:ncRNA from 12 species
ACAAUCCGGGUCUGUGGUUGAAAGUCGAUGCCAGUUGCAGGCGAAACGAUCCACGUAAGCAGUAUAAGUACUGUGAGCACGGUGCAGCUUAGAAGUAAGUCCUGCCGUAGGGAAGGAAGGACAUGCCGGCGUAACGGCGGCAUGGGCCGGUCAUUCUUUUUACGAGAGAAGCAGUAGUGGGGAGCGGAUGCUUAGGAGCGAACCUUCCAGCAGGCGGGUGUGGGGGCGAAAACCAGGUCAGCCGGGGCGU